rnacentral:rRNA from 1 species
AUUGAACGCUGGCGGCAUGCUUUACACAUGCAAGUCGAACGGUAACAGGUCUUCGGAUGCUGACGAGUGGCGAACGGGUGAGUAAUGCAUCGGAACGUGCCCAGUCGUGGGGGAUAACGCAGCGAAAGCUGUGCUAAUACCGCAUACGAUCUAUGGAUGAAAGCGGGGGACCGUAAGGCCUCGCGCGAUUGGAGCGGCCGAUGUCAGAUUAGCUAGUUGGUGGGGUAAAGGCACACCAAGGCGACGAUCUGUAGCUGGUCUGAGAGGAAGGACAGCCACGCUGGGACUGAGACACGGCCCAGACUCCUACGGGAGGCAGCAGUCGGGAAUUUUGGACAAUGGCCGCAAGCCUGAUCCAGCAAUGCCGCGGGCAGGAAGAAGGCCUUCGGGUUGUAAACUGCUUUUGUACGGAACGAAAAAGCUUCUCCUAAUACGAGAGGCCCAUGACGGUACCGUAAGAAUAAGCACCGGCUAACUACGUGCCAGCCGCCGCAGUAA